UACGUAGGGUCCGAGCGUUGUCCGGAAUUAUUGGGCGUAAAGGGCUCGUAGGCGGUUUGUCGCGUCGGGAGUGAAAACACCGGGCUUAACUCGGUGCUUGCUUUCGAUACGGGCAGACUAGAGGUAUGCAGAGGAGAACGGAAUUCCUGGUGUAGCGGUGAAAUGCGCAGAUAUCAGGAGGAACACCGGUGGCGAAGGCGGUUCUCUGGGCAUUACCUGACGCUGAGGAGCGAAAGUGUGGGGAGCGAACAGG
rnacentral:rRNA from 1 species